UGUGUAGCGGUUGGAAUGCGUAGAUAUUAUGGAAGAACACCAGUGGCGAAGGCGGCUACCUGGUCUGCAACUGACGCUGAGACUCGAAAGCAUGGGUAGCGAACAGGAUUAGAUACCCUGGUAGUCCAUGCCGUAAACGAUGAGUGCUAGGUGUUGGAGGGUUUCCGCCCUUCAGUGCCGGAGCUAACGCAUUAAGCACUCCGCCUGGGGAGUACGACCGCAAGGUUGAAACUCAAAGGAAUUGACGGGGGCCCGCACAAGCGGUGGAGCAUGUGGUUUAAUUCGAAGCUACGCGAAGAACCUUACCAGGUCUUGACAUCUUGCGCCAACCCUAGAGAUAGGGCGUUUCCUUCGGGAACGCAAUGACAGGUGGUGCAUGGUCGUCGUCAGCUCGUGUCGUGAGAUGUUGGGUUAAGUCCCGCAACGAGCGCAACCCUUGUUACUAGUUGCCAGCAUUAAGUUGGGCACUCUAGUGAGACUGCCGGUGACAAACCGGAGGAAGGUGGGGACGACGUCAGAUCAUCAUGCCCCUUAUGACCUGGGCUACACACGUGCUACAAUGGACGGUACAACGAGUCGCGAACUCGCGAGGGCAAGCAAAUCUCUUAAAACCGUUCUCAGUUCGGACUGCAGGCUGCAACUCGCCUGCACGAAGUCGGAAUCGCUAGUAAUCGCGGAUCAGCAUGCCGCGGUGAAUACGUUCCCGGGCCUUGUACACACCGCCCGUCACACCAUGAGAGUUUGUAACACCCAAAGUCGGUGGGGUAACCUU
rnacentral:rRNA from 1 species